AUUGAACGCUAGCGGGAUGCCUUACACAUGCAAGUCGAACGGAGUGGCGAACGGGUGAGUAAUGUAUCGGAACGUGCCCAGUAGCGGGGGAUAACUACGCGAAAGCGUAGCUCAUAACGCAUACUAUUGGGGCAGCCGAUAUGGGAUUAGCUAGAUGGUGGGGUAACGGCUCACAAAGGCGACGAUCCGUAGAUGGUUUCAGAGGAAGACCAGCCACACUGGGACGGAGACACGGCCCAGACUCCUACGGGAGGCAGCAGUGGGGAAGUUUGGACAAUGGGUGAAACCCUGAUCCAGCCUGCCCGCGUGUGCGAUGAAGGCCUUCGGGUUGUAAAGCACUUUUGGCAUGAAAGCGGUACCUGCAGAAUAAGCACCGGCUAACUACGUGCCAGCAGCCGCGGUAAUUC
rnacentral:rRNA from 1 species